rnacentral:sRNA from 1 species
UAGUGUUCGACGAUAAAACUGCAGCUGC